GAGUAACUUGACAACUUCGUUUGAGGUGUUUCUGAUCUCCAAAAUUCACGAAAUUUAAACUAGAAUGUCCUUAAAUAUUUUAUUUUUGAUCUGGAAUGUUUCGACACAAAAAUCAACCCGCUGAAUAUUUUUAAAAUUUUUUUCUUGAUUUUGUAUUUUUCAUUUUUUUGAAUUUUUCGACUGCUUUUUUUGUGGGAAAUAUUUUUUAAUAAUCUACCACAGUGCCAAAAAUAUGCAUAUAAAAUUUUAGACCAAUCAGACAACAUUUACCCACUCAAAUGAAUUUUUUUCCAAAAAUUUUUCUGGGUAAAAGCUGUUGUUUGUUGUUUUAAAA
rnacentral:lncRNA from 1 species